AGAGUUUGAUCCUGGCUCAGGACGAACGUUGGCGGCGUGGAUUAGGCAUGCAAGUCGAAUGCGAACGGGGAGCAAUCCCCAAGUAGCAUGGCGAAAGGGGCAGUAAUACCUAGGCAACCUACCCUCAGGCUCGGGAUAGCCGGCGGAAACGCCGAGUAAUACCGGAAGUCGUUUAGGAGCGGCAUCGUUCCUUUAUGAAAGGUCCGCCGCCUGAGGAGGGGCUUAGGUCCCAUCAGCUUGUUGGUGAGGUAACGGCUCACCAAGGCUCGGACGGGUAGGGGGUGUGAGAGCAUGACCCCCGCCACUGGCACUGAGACACGGGCCCGACUCCUACGGGAGGCAGCAGUAAGGAAUAUUGGGCAAUGGAGGCAACUCUGACCCAGCCAUGCCGCGUGGAGGAUGAAGGCCCUCUGGGUUGUAAACUUCUUUUACCUGGGACGAAACCACCCUUUUCUAAGGGUGUUGACGGUACCAGGGGAAUAAGCACCGGCUAACUCCGUGCCAGCAGCCGCGGUAAUACGGAGGGUGCAAGCGUUAUCCGGAUUCACUGGGUUUAAAGGGUGCGUAGGCGGGCAGGUAAGUCCGUGGUGAAAUCUCCGAGCUUAACUCGGAAACUGCCAUGGAUACUAUUUGUCUUGAAUACUGUGAAGGUGAGCGGAAUAUGUCAUGUAGCGGUGAAAUGCUUAGAUAUGACAUAGAACACCAAUUGCGAAGGCAGCUCACUGCGCAGUGAUUGACGCUGAGGCACGAAAGCGUGGGGAUCAAACAGGAUUAGAUACCCCGGUAGUCC
rnacentral:rRNA from 1 species